rnacentral:rRNA from 1 species
UCUGGAAUUNGGAAGAGAUUUGGAAUUGCUAGCUAGAGAACCGGAACACCGGUGCUGCAUGCCGGUCGUCAGCUCGGGUCGUGAGAUGAUGGGUUAAGUCCCGCAACGAGCGCACCCCUUGUCCUUAGUUGUUANGAAAGGGCAUUUUAAUGAGCCGCCCGGUGCCAACCCGGAGGAAGGUGGGGAGGACGUCAAGUCUUCAUGGCCUUUAUGGGUAGGGCUUCACACGUCAUACAAUGGUCGGGACAGAGGGUCGCCAACCCGCGAGGGGGAGCCAAUNCCAGAAACCCGAUNGUANUCCGGAUCGCAUUCUGCANCUCGANUGCGUGAANUCGGAAUCGCUAGUAAUCGCGGAUCAGCAUGUCGCGGUGAAUACGUUCCCGGGUCUUGUACACACCGCCCGUCACACCAUGGGAGUGGGUUUCACCAGAAG